CGAAAGCCUGACGGAGCAACGCCGCGUGAGGGAUGAAGGCCUCUGGGCUGUAAACCUCUUUUCUCAAGGAAGAAGAUCUGACGGUACUUGAGGAAUAAGCCACGGCUAAUUCCGUGCCAGCAGCCGCGGUAAUACGGGAGCGGCAAGCGUUAUCCGGAAUUAUUGGGCGUAAAGCGUCCGCAGGCGGCCUAUCAAGUCUGUCGUUAAAGCGUGGAGCUUAACUCCAUUUGAGCGAUGGAAACUGAAAGGCUAGAGUGUGGUAGGGGCAGAGGGAAUUCCCGGUGUAGCGGUGAAAUGCGUAGAUAUCGGGAAGAACACCAGUGGCGAAGGCGCUCUGCUGGGCCAUAACUGACGCUCAUGGACGAAAGCCAGGGGAGCG
rnacentral:rRNA from 1 species